AGAAAAGCAACUGGGAACGAGAUUACAGGAAGUGACGUCAUACUUCAACGUGAGGCAAGGCGGGUCGUUAUUUGAAUAGAUGCCGAUUCCCCCUUACUUCACGUUUUCUGAAGGAGCACAGAAUCCACGGCUACAUGCGCAGAAAAUUGCAUGGUUUAUCCUACAUUCCAUCCCAGCCGUCAGGAGAAAUUAUUGCCUCUUUUAAAAAUAUUUCUACCUCACGCACAUUAAAGAUAAGUUCAUAUUCUAUAAAUAUACACACUGUAAAGCCUUCCAGAAAUCAAUUUCGCCUCAUUUUCUCUAUGCUUUAUUCGCUCACCUCAUGAAUUUCGCUGCAUGUCCCAUUUCACAAGCACUUGCCGAUGUUUCUUUCCAACGUUUACAAUUUCUGUACCCCACUGUGAUUCAGUUGAAGUCUCUGUGUCUCUAUCCUUCAAAUAUCCACUCUGAUGUCCCCGGAAACCAGUCUCGCCUCAUUUGCGCAAUGCUUUCGUCAUCCCCGUCAUGCAUUUUUCUGCUGCACCCAUUUCUAAAGCCUUUGCCUAUGUUAAAAAUAUUUCUACCCCACUUAGACUCAAUUUUGGUCACCAUUUUAUAAAUAAAUAUUCUGAAGCUUUUCAGAAAUCAGUUUCACCUCAUUUCCUCCACGCUUUCAUCACUCAUCUCACACAUUUCCCUGGGUUGUCGAUUCCACAGCACUUGCCGAUGUUUCUUUCUAAUGUUGAGAAUAUUUCUACCCCACCAAGAUUUAACAGUAUCCCAUAAAUAGACACCCUGAAGCAAUCUAGAAACCGAUUUCACCUCAUUCAUUUUUUAUUCACAUAAUGGCCACGUUUUGAAAACGCUCGUCCUUUCCGGAGCACUUUGCGAAAUUUCUUUCCAAUGUGAAGAAUAUUUCUACCUGACUGAGAUACAAUCUCCUUACUCCAUAUACUCACUCCAUAUACUGUCACAAACACCCCUAGACAAUCUCGAAAUCAGUUUCACCUCAUUUGCUCAAUCCUUUCAUCACGCAUCUCAUGCAUUUCACUGAAUGGCCCAUUUCCGAUGCACAUGUCAAUGUUUCUUACCAAUUUUAAAAAUAUUUCUACUCCACUUAUUCUCAUGCUAACUGCAUAUCCUAUAACUAGACAUUGUCGAGCAUUCCAGGAACAAAUUUCAUGUCGUUUCAUUCGUUUCACCCCUCAGCUUGCACUUUCAAGGGUGCGUCACGCCUCCGAACCAUCCGCUCCUCAGCACCUUUCCAAUUUUACAGAUAUUUCUACCUCACACAGAUUUAAGAGCUCCGUUCUCCUUCAACUUCACAUAGGUGGAGAAAGAACACUUUCAUGUACCUUCUUCCAAGCUGCAUCCUAGCCGGCUAGCCAAGGAACUAGGGCAACAGAACCAUGUAACCAGCAAUUUCUGCAUCUCUUGUGUAUUCAUAUGGCAAUUUUAUUUCUAAUUCUAACCAAGGUAAACAGAUGUUUUCACACUGUAUAUCAUUUAUUUUGAACUAUACACAUGUUUUUACAUUUCACAAUCUUAGACAACAGUUUCUCUGCACACUGAAUCCGGUACACUAAAAAAUUCAAUUAGGAUUCCUUAACUCAUACCAAUCAACAAUGUAAUGGUGUGGGGCUAAAGUUGUCUUGUAGAUAGACGCGUUAGUCAUUGGAGUCGAGGAUUUAUUGCACAGUAGCUGAAGUUGCAUUGUAGUACAGUUUUAAGCCAGUUAAGGAACUUGCUUCACCCUUGCUAAUGUUGCUGCUGGCAAAGGAAGUGUGUCAGGGAAUGGGGGAUGUGGCUGUGUAGGGCUUAGAUGGGUGCUACCAAGACUCUGUGCCCCUAUAGUGUUUCUCACGACAGAGACGGUGAUACUCGCACAGGACGGAAAGGAUGCUGGAGAGGUGGAAUGUUCUCGAUGGCGUCACAUGGUGUGUUCUUACUCUAGUAGAGGAGACUUCCUCAACCUCAGGACCAUCAGGAGGAGAUGGCUUCCUCAACAUGAGUUCUGACUGGCAGUGAUGGAAUGUACAAGCGAGCGCACAUUUCUGGCUCCACGCGUGGCCACUGCCGUUACAACUGACUAACUGUCACGCCUUUGCAGGCCGCCAAAGGUCAUUUUUUUUCUUGCACGUUGCCUACAUUGUGAAACACUUGGACCAUUGUAGUGGAUGACAGGAACAUAUGAAGUCCUAUAAUUUGCGGUGUUCACUCUAGAGGUGUCACCGAUGAAGUGUGCCGCUUUCACUAUUACGAAUAAUCUUGACUGAUUCGUAGUCCUCAAAGUUGAUAGUUUUACACUGUUGGUGUUCAUGUGGGGCAAACAGGCACCUCAGGCAUCAUUGCUGUUGUUUGACAUCUCUCUUUUAUAGACUUGGGCUGCACAAAUGGAAUCCUGUGGAUCAAACAGAUGGAAUGUUCAGAAUCUGGCUGUCCAGUGUUGAGAUAAACCUAGUCACUUCUGAAACGAAGAAGGCCACAAAACGAGAUGAUUUGUCUUUCAACACAGUGCAUGGGUAUCAUUAUAUAUGUUCAGACUGACGACCACAAUGCAAUAUUUACUAACACCUUUUUUUUUUCAUGUAUAUAUAUAUAUAUGUGUGUGUGUGUGCUCCAUACUGCACAAUGAUUCUCACAAGGGUUCCACGUAGCUUCACAAUCUCUUAGUUUUUCUUUACAUCGAGCCAGGAGUGGAUUAAAAAUUGGUACGAUGUUAAUAUAAGCAGCACACAAAAAAAUUUCCAAAUUAGGUCCACAUGUACAAAACUGCACAACGUGAAUUGAAAAGAAUGUGGAAAAAAUGAAGAAAUUGAGCCUAUUAGAGAGCAAAAAAUACAGCACAAGUGUACAACAUGUGGAAUGAAAACACAUGCACACAUAACCAGUUCUUGAAUUGCUUGACGAUGGUACCGGGAAGGCGGUUCCACUACAACGACAUACGAGGAAGAAAUGAAUUCAGAAAUGACUUCCUUGAACAUCAGGGAAUACCCACUUUCUACAGGUGAUCGGCACGAUAUGAGAUAUAUAUAUAGCCUGCUAGACCAAAGAUUCUCUGAGGUGAUUAUUAUGAAUGAUAAUAAAUCUUGUCGAAACAAGGACUAGUUAUGUUUUGACAAGUGCAAAGUAGAAGCAGAUGGAGGAUAUGCUUCAUAGCAGUGAUACUGGCAUUGUAGUUACCAAAUAUGAACAGGCUGUCCUGCAUUGUACUGUUUCUAUUGAGUUUGAAAUGUUGAUGUAGUCGGUAUCCGACACAGAGCUGUGUCUUCCAACUUAGGAAGGGCUAGUAAUUUAUACAGUCACUAUAGUUGGAGUGGAUGAAAAAAAUUCAGAGGUGUAACCUGGAGCUCGAGAUUCGUUGGUAGUGAUGUGUUCAACAUGAGGGACCCAGGACAGGUUAGAUGAAAUGAAAAUUAUGAGGUAUUUGUAAAGUGAUACACAGAGACCAUGGUGAUACUGAUUCAAAUGGAAUGUUAUUAAUGGAAUAAGUCACAUGCACUUUAUUAGAGCGAGAAAUUAUCACCAGAAUUUGGUUCUUUUUUUUGGGGGGAGGGUAUAUUUACAUGCUUGUCACUCAAUAUUCUGCAAUCUCGCUAGAUUUUAUGGGGGGGGGUCUGGAUAAAUCACUGAUGUAAGAUCAUUUGGAAGGUUGUUAAUGUAUAGUUAUGCUUCGCUUAUCUGGACAACUUGCAUUACCGAGAACGAGCCAGCUACCAUAGGACUUGGUCCCGGUUAUCCUGGAAGAAGACCAACUUUCUGAGACAUUAGCAGGUUGACUCAGUGCAUGCUGUGGGUGUGACCAGAAUUCUGUCAUACAUUACUAUUGAUUGCAAUCGGUUCCCUUUGCAUGAUUUUUUGAAGUAAUCUUUUUUUUGUUCCCUUUUCUGGAGCUAUAAAGGAGAGUUUUAAAUUUGUCGGGUUCUCCCGGAAAGGGCUAAAGAUGGGACUGUUUGGUGGCCCAUACUUUCAAAUUGGUAAAAAUUCAUGUGCCAGGGAACAAACAAAAAAGACCCAGGGAGUAGGCAGGAGUAUCAAUUUUAAGGUUUUCCCAGAAGCUUGCUUGGUUCAGUUAUCUGGUAUCCAGAUGAAAAGGGAUGACUACUGAAGUGUCUGGAUAAUGAGACACGACUGUAUAUGAGAAAGAGAAGUGGUCCAAGGACAGAAUCUUCGCGAACUCCAGAGAGGACAGGCGUUAGACUGGAUUCAUUAUCGUUCAUAGAGACAAACUGUGAGCUAUUAGUCAAGGAAUGUAUCCAAGAUAGAAUUUUAUCAUCAAUGCCAAUAUUGUGCAAUUGAUGAAAAAAAAAAAAAAAGAGAGAGUGUGAUACGUUAUUGGAUGCCUUCGAGAAGUCAAGAAAUCUGCAGUUCAUGCAGAACUUGUGAUCCAGUGUGACAUGAAAGUCAUAAGAAAAGGGACUAGUCGCGUUUCACAACAAUUUUUUUUCUAAUACCGCGUUGAUAUGGAGAGAAGGAGGAACAGAAUUUUAGGUGUUAGAUAAUGUGCACUAGUAUUGUACAUGAAAUUAUGGGGCAAUAAUUGUUGCUCCUCUUGCACAAUGCUUGUCUCCUGAUUUAUGGAGUGGUACAGCUUGGGACAAAAGUUUACGGAAAGCGGCACUGGCACAUUUCUUCAUCCGAGCGGCCCCCUGUUAGAUAUUAGGAAGAGAUCGAACAAGAAACAGGUGACCGGCUAUUCUGUUAAUUUUUCAGUAUGUGUGUCUGCUCCUUUUGGCUGCCAGGGGGUCGUCCCAACAGCUAAAUGCGACACCUCGGUGUUCCGUAAACUUUUGUCCCAAGCUGUACCACCUUUCCAGUCAUGUGGAAGAAUGAUCUCUCCAAACAACAUCAGCAAUCGGCACCAGCAUGCCUUCUGUUGAACUCCCCCUUCCAAUUUUACACUAUCUUUAUCUAUGAAUUCUAAGUCCAUUAAAAGUAUGUGAUGGUUUGA